rnacentral:lncRNA from 1 species
UUUAUCAAGUAUUCUAGACUGAAGAAUGUUAAGCUGAACCAAUUUUUUCUUUUAUUAUUCAUUUACAGUCAAUCUCGAAAGGAAAACUAAAAUGUCUCCCCUCCCCACUUUGAGACAGGUUGUCUCUGUGUAACAGAGCCCUAGCUAUUUUGGAUCAUGCUUUGUAGACCAGACUGGCCUUGAACUCACAGAGAUCCACUUGCCUUUGCCUUCUGAGUGGUGGGAUUAAAGGCGUGUGCCACCACGUCUGGAGGAAAGCAAAAUGUAAUGAGGUAAAUGAAAAUAAAGUGUGACAACACCAUGGACAAAUCCCAGUUGGGGACCACAGACUGCAGGACCUCAGAGACCACAGGACUGCAUAAGACCAGAGAGGCUUUGAAAGAAUCCAGCAUCUUUUUUCUCCUUUAAGUAAUCUAGCAUUUUCUGCAAAGGAGACACAGUUUAGAGGGAAGCAAUGAAAACAGUCACAACUGAUGAUCUUCCUAAUUCCAAUGGAGAAAUGGCAAAUGCCCUGCCACGGAAGCAUACAAAAGCAGACUCUUGGGGAAACAUCAGAAGAACUGGUAUAGUCAAGAAAAUAUAACCUCUAUCCCCAAGGCUUAGGGAGCAUGUCAGAAGAGGCUAAAAGAUUAUAAGAGCAAGAGGACCAGGAUGUUAGCUGAGAGACCAUC